rnacentral:pre_miRNA from 1 species
GUAGUAUUCCCUCCAUCCCAAAAUUCUUGUCUUACAUUUGUUUAGAUACGGAUGUAUCUAACACUAAAAUGUAACUAGAUACAUCCAUAUUUAGAAAAAUUUAAGACAAGAAUUUUGGGACGGAGGGAGUACAAA